CCAAUAGCGUAUAUUAAAGUUGUUGCAGUUAAAAAGCUCGUAGUUGAAUUUCGGGAUCAAUUUACUGGUCGUGCUAUUGUACGUACUGGUUUUAUUGGUUUCUACCUUCUGACGAACCAUGAUGUCAUUAAUUUUGUGUUAUGGGGAAUCAGGACUGUUACUUUGAAAAAAUUAGAGUGUUUAAAGCAGGCUCACGCUUGAAUACAUUAGCAUGGAAUAACGAAAUAGGACGUUUGAUUCUAUUUUGUUGGUUUCUAGGAUCGACGUAAUGAUUAAUAGGGAUAGUUGGGGGCAUUAGUAUUCAAUUGUCAGAGGUGAAAUUCUUGGAUUUAUUGAAGACUAACUACUGCGAAAGCAUUUGCCAAGGAUGUUUUCAUUAAUCAAGAACGAAAGUUAGGGGAUCGAAGACGAUCAGAUACCGUCGUAGUCUUAACCAUAAACUAUGCCGACUAGGGAUCGGAUGAUGUUAAUUUUUUAAUGACUCAUUCGGCGCCUUACG
rnacentral:rRNA from 1 species